rnacentral:tmRNA from 1 species
GGGGGCGUAAAGGUUUCGACGUGGGUUUGGCACUUGAGGCUGCGUGUCGUGUUACUCUGGGUCACGUAAAAACUGGGGAAAACAAUAAACGCAAACGAUAAUUACGCUUUAGCAGCUUAAUGCUGCUCGACCCGCCGAGCCCUCCUGCCGGUUAGGCCUGGUCGUCAUUUAUGCAGGGAACUACUUUUAUGGGUGUCUCGACUAAAAGUGGAUUAAUUGGGGCUGGUCAAUCAUAAAGCCUGCCACUGGGCGAUAUGAUUGAUGAGAUUCUAAAUCAGUUGGCUACACACGUAGAUGCAACAAGGAAAAGACUUGCGGACAGGGGUUCGACUCCCCUCGUCUCCACCA